rnacentral:lncRNA from 1 species
AGGCAAUGUGCAGGCGAGGGUGGGCAGCUGGGACAGAGCAGCCCAGGGCUGGCCCCUCACAGGGGAGCGGGGAGUGCUGGGGCUGGGGGUACCCUGGGCACGGGACACGGCCGGGAUGGCUGAAAAGAACAGGGAUCAAGGUGGGGAGUGAGCUGAGGGGCUGCCCCAUUCUGCACUGACACUUCUGGGACAGGGAUGUCCUCUACCCGUCCCCAUUCACUUCCACUUGUGUUUUGGUGGCACGGUGCAGAGAGCUGCACAAGUGUCUGUCCUUAAUGCUCCACAUGCUCAAGCCUUGCUCAAAUCUGGGUCUUGCUCCCUGUUAGUCUGGUCCCUCCCAGUCUGAGAGCAAGACUGUCUGUGCCCAUUCACCAGGUCAAAGAACUUUGGGGUCUAGCCAUGGAAUUAGUCAUGGAAUUUGAAGCACUCCUCUCUGAUCAUGCAUUGCUUUUGCUUUUCUUUUCCAGCGAGAAAAGAUGCAACUAUGGCGGACCAAGCUGCAGAGCUGGCAUGGAGAAGGUGUCUGCUGCCUCAUAACAGAGGUAGGUGUGCAUUGGGUUGCCCACUGAGAUGCUUCUCCUGCCCCUGCUGGGGCAUGUUCAGCAGCCAAGAGGUGCCCCAUCUCCUGCCCCGUGGGGCAGCUCCUGGCCCCGAGCUGGGGAAAGCCUGCCCAGGGCUGAGCUCUGCCCCUGAUGGCCUGGCUCCUUCUGUCCCUGCAGUGAAGGUGACCCUGGAUCCGGACACGGCUCAUCCCAUGCUUGUCCUGUCUCAGGACAACAGCAGUGUGAGAUGGGAAGACAUACCACAUCAGGUUCCUGACACACCAGAGAGAUUUCAGGAGAGUUUAUGCGUGCUGGGCCAUGAGGAGUUCAGAGAGGGCAGACACUGUUGGUUGGUGGAGGUGGAGGGGGAGUCGCUAAAGUAUUCU